AGUAAGUGGAGGGAGUAGAUGUCACAAGGCCUGUAUCAGUGUAGUUAACCGGCAUCUUCGGAACUGGUGCUGUGAGGUGGGCUUUGGAUUUCAGGACAAUGAGCCAUAUUUCUGGGCUGAGGGCAUAUUGGGGAGGGAUGGAGUACAUCUCUCACCCAAGGGUAAAUGCAUUUUUUCCUCUAGGUUGGCUGAUAUCAUUCAGCUGGCUUUAAACUAGCUUCAUCGGGGGAAGGGGCUGCCCAAAGAGGAAGGGAUGUUUUGCCAACUAGCAAGGCGACAAGAGAAACAGAAACCCAGAAUUUCUGGACAAUCACCUAACAACUUGAGACUCCUACUUAAAAAAAAAAAAAAAGAAAGAUGGGACAAUGACAAGAAUAUUGGAGUGAAUCAAUUUAGAAGAAAAAUAAAAUCCAGGAACUGGCAUUUUCAAAGAGAUAUAAUGGCUAGAUGGGGAAUAAAAAGGUUUUGAAAAAAAAAAUCUGAUGAAAUUAAUACCAUUUCAUGAAUGCUAUAUAGGACUGAUUCUUCUGCACCUGUGUAACUAGGAAGAAAAUUAGGUUCAUAUUUAUUCUUAACUAAUUACUGUUAAAUUAGUCAGAUCACUGUCAGGGAAGGUAAGGAUAUUUCAUCCUAAUAACUAGAACUAAGGGCUCUGGUGGAUGGUUGGAAGCCAGGAGGAGGUCACAAACCAAAGGUCAGUAAUCGGAGAUGCCAAGUCUACUAGGAAGACCAAGAGGCAUAUCCAGUAUAAAAGGCCAGAACCAAGGUCUGUAACCAGGCUAUCAAGCCAAGGGCUCAGACAGCAGAGGCUAAAAGCCAGAACACAAUUCAGCCAGGAACCAGAAUUAGUAGUCUAAGAUUAGGAACCAGGGGACAAUCACCAGGAUCCAGGGUAUGAGGAGGCAAGGGCUGGCAACCAGCAAAAUACAAGGCCAGAAUAUGUGUGCAGAGCAAAGCACUAAUCGCAUAUUUGAAACCCAGCAGCUUGUGCAAAAAAGAUCAGGCACUUAGGCAGUCCUUUAAAUAAGCAGCUAGGAUCAGUCAGGUGGCUGAGAGAGAGAGAGAGUUGUCUUGGAAUCCAGUGGACAUCUAUUAUAGACCUAGAUGGGUUAGAUCAGCAGAAUUUUAGACCCCCCUAUUUCCAGAGAAUAGAGAAGGCAUAGGUCUAGGCCUGCAGUGUUUACUGCUCUGUAAUGAAAUGGGGACUUUGCCAAUGGGUGAGGAGGACAAUAGAUCCAGGUGUAUAAGUGAAUGCCUGGAACAGCAACAAACAGGCAAGGGCCUGUAGCCCAUAGGUUUGAAAUGAGGGAUUCAGAAGGGAACACCAAAACCCCUGACACUGCCUGCCACUCCUUGAAAGUGUCUAGGGAGCUAAGCUAAGACAGUUGAGCUCUUAAAAUUAGGGAGCAGAGACGUAAACAUAACAGUAUCUAAAUCAGGACCCACAUUUUCAUCCUGCACACUCAAGGGAAUACAAUCUGAGAUCCAAAGACUACUUCAAAUGCAAGUUAUGUCAUAAUAAUUCAGUUAUGUUGCCCUGGAAAUCAGUACAUAACCUUUAUGCCAAAAGGCUACAAAAAGGUUAAUUAUGCCAAAUUAUUUUAUGAAAAUGAUCAAUUGUGUGCUAUUCUUCUAUCUGUUAAGUUUAUCCAUCCUUUCUUGUUAAGAUGAGAGUUUUGUCCACCAUUAGAUCUUGACUCAUGGAACAGGGGACUAGGAAGAAAGAGGGUAGACUUGUGGAGUUAAAGCAAAGACAAUGAAACAUCUCAGCUUCCUAGUGUAAGUGGACCUUCAUUUGUAAAGGCUUAGACCAGGGAUGGGCAAAAUACAAUGAAGGGGUUGGAUCAGGCCCACCAAUGGAUUUUGUCUGGUCCAUGGUAGUCCCUCAGUCCCACCCAGCCUAGGUGCAGGGGGGCAGCCCAGGCCAUGGCAUGUGUGGUCAGUCCUGCUACCCCAUACAUGCGGUAGGGCUGGGGUAGUGCAGCGGUGCACUUCCCAACAUCCCUGGUGGUGGUGGCCCCUUCCAGCUGCCACCACUGAUCCCCCUGCCUAGGCACCCUGGCCCAUCCACCCCACACCCACUGCCGGGGGCAGGACCCACAUGGGCAGGGCAUAUGGCCAGGCAGAUGGGAUGGGACCAUGGGUGGGUGGGGAGCUGCUGGGCUGCUGCAUCCUCUGCCCCCCAAAUUGCCCCUCUGACCAAAUUUCUAUGGCAGCCUAUAAGUACAUAAGGGGAGUGCAUCAGAAUCUGGGAGAACAGUUUUUCACCAAUGGUCCCCAAGGAGUAGCAAGGUCCAACAGCCACAAACUCCUAGAAGGCUGAUUUAGAUUGAACAUAACAAAAAACUUCUUCACAGUCCACGUAUCCAGGGUCUGGAGCAGACAUCCUGCCUAUGGCAAGGGGGCUGGACUCAAUCUUGUGAGGUCCCUUCCAGACCCUAAUAUCUAUGAAUCUAUAUGACCCUAUUUCAUUCUUAAUGAAAAACUUUACAUUCCUAAUUUUUUUUUAAGUCUUCAUUAUUCUAGUAGUUAUUUUAUUUAUAGAAGGAAACCAUGAUCAGAGUCUGAUUCUCAAUAGGCAGAGUUGGAACUUGAUAGUUUAGCUGUGGAGAAACCAAAUCCAGAUUCAAUUUUGAACUGAUUUUUCCAAAUUGACCUCCCAUACAAUUACUUCGUACAUCAGGAAAGGGUGGGAGCAGUUUUAUGCUGUUGAAUACUCCUAUAAGUUAUUCAGUCUACACUUAAAUAUUCAGCAGUUUUCUGAUAUUCUGUAAUAAAAUGAUGUACCUUUGCUAACAUGAAGAAAUCACAUCGUAAAAAUACAUUACCAUUGAAGCGACAUUGUGGACUAUCUUACAGCUUCAAAGACAAGUUUAACUGGAGGAUACAUUUGAUUGUACUGUCAGGAAGAAAGAUAUAGUAAAAUAAACAAGCCUUGUCACAAUACAUUUUCCACAAAUACAUCACAGUAAUGAAGGCUUGUCUUUCCUUUCCUCUUCCUGUGGAAAAGGUUCCAUUGGCAGACUAGUCCUCAACACUGAAUAGCCAAAAAUAAUAAACAUUUCUUUUUGUUCAGCAUCAAACCUCAAAGGCUUUCCCAUACCUGUGGUAGCUACUUUUACUGCCAAUAGCAUUUAGUUUGCCUUACUGUUGUGGUGGAAAGAGUCAAUGUACUGGACAUGAUUUGAGCUAAUAUGCUUAGAAAAUGUUCUAUUUUUCUGAUAAAAGGGAGCUUGAAACCACCACUCAUUUUAUACUUAUAAAGUAAUAGGUGACCUCUAGAAAUGUUACUGAGAUAUCUCUGCUCUAAACUGGUACAUGUGAGUUAUAUGGUUAGAUGCUAAAAUGUUCUCUCUUUUUUAUGAAACAAACUCUUCCCAGAGCCACCCAUUAAAUGAGCACCGAACCGUGCUAACCUCAUGUGAUGGCCAGAACCAGAGGGAUUAAUAAGCAAUAAAUAUGUGCUUCUUGGAGGCAUUUGAUAUUUUGGCUUACAGGUAAUAUAAGCUAUUAUAAAGCUUGUAAGUUUGUAACCCGCAAAUGUAACUUGUCUGUUAUAAGUUUAACCAAAAUUAUAAAACUAACUGUUCAUGGAACUGACUGGGCCCCACAGGUGAAGCUGUAACUGCAAGAUUAGCUGACCUAACAGUUUUUGUUCAGGGUUCAGCCUUGACGAUAAAAACUGGAUCCAACCUCCUGGCACACCCAACACAUUCCAGGAAAGCACGUCCCAAGAAAGCAUAUUCAGAGAAACCUAAAAGGGUUGGGCUCAGGCGGAGUAAUAUUAAUUUCAAACCUAAAGAUGCUGCAUUGUAAUUUGCUUGUUGGAUAAACCUCAGUCUAGGUAGUAACCUUUUAUUAUAAAUUUUAACACCUUUCAAUCCCAUAAGGUAACAGCUAUAGGACAAGAUUGUGAGUGGCUCUAAAGCCAACAGAUUAGCAUAAGGCUAGGUAUAAAAAGCAUGUGCGUCAGGUGACCACCAGGAAGGAGGGAACAGAAUGGUCAUUGCUGUUCCAAGCCCGGACUCCAGACUCCCAGUGUGAGUGAGGAUCAGAUCUGGAUCAAGGGACUUUCCCGAUAAUCCCUCUGACAGUGUUGACUGGGGAUGCCUGACUUCACUGGAAUCACUUGGCGCACACCUGGCUUUGAGGGACUAUCGAUAAAUUGCCAACCCAUGUCUGUCUAUCUGUUGUUUUGAACAGCCCAGUGGCUGAUACCCUCACACUGUCCAGUUGGUCUGUGACAGAAUCAAUCCAUCUAUCUGUUGUUAUUAUCUGUUGUUAUUAUUUACUAUUAGCUCUUUUAUACUGCAUUAUCUGCUUAUCACAUUUAUCUUUCUGUUAACUGUUGUAUGUAAGCUAUAAUGAAUUUGCCUUUGCUUCA